rnacentral:rRNA from 1 species
GUUAUUAACUUAAGGAAUUAUAACAAAGAAGUAACACGUAAUAAAUUUAUUUUAUUUAGUGUGUAUCAAUCGAGUUUCUGACCUAUCAGCUUUUGAUGUUAGGGUAUUGGCCUAACAUGGCUAUGACGGGUAACGGGGAAUUAGAGUUCGAUUCCGGAGAGGGAGCCUGAGAAAUAGCUACCACAUCUAAGGAAGGCAGCAGGCGCGUAAAUUACCCAAUUCUAAAGAAGAGAGGUAGUGACAAGAAAUAACAAUGCAAGGCCAAUUUUUGGUUUUGUAAUUGGAAUGGUGGGAAUUUAAAACCUUCCCAGAGUAACAAUUGGAGGGCAAGUCUGGUGCCAGCAGCCGCGGUAAUUCCAGCUCC